rnacentral:rRNA from 1 species
UACGUAGGGCGCAAGCGUUAUCCGGAAUUAUUGGGCGUAAAGAGCUCGUAGGCGGUUUGUUGCGUCGGCUGUGAAAUCCCGAGGCUCAACCUCGGGUCUGCAGUCGAUACGAGCAAACUAGAGUGUUGCAGGGGAGACUGGAAUUCCUGGUGUAGCGGUGAAAUGCGCAGAUAUCAGGAGGAACACCCGUAGCGAAGGCGGCACUCUGGGCCGGAACUGACGCUGAGGAGCGAAAGCGUGGGGAGCGAACAGG